AUGGUACAUUUAUUAUUUUCCUCUAUUAUUAUUGGUGUUAUUACAAUUAUUAUUUUAUGUGAUUUAUUAUUAUUAUUAAUUAUACAUUUAUUAUUUCAUUCUGAUAUUAUUAUUAUUAUUGCAUUUAUUAUUUUACUGUAUUUAUUAUUGCUAUUACAUUUAUUAAUUUACUCAAUUAUUACAUUUAUUAUUUUACUGUAUUUAUUAUUACAGUAGAGUCUCACUUAUCCAACAUAAACGGGUCUUGGUUGGCUUAUAUUUGGGUCAGCUUAUACUCAAGAAUAUAUGGUACAUUUAUUAUUUUUCUCUAUUAUUAUUGCUAUUAUUACAUUUAUUAUUUUUUUCUAUUAUUGUUGCUACUACAGUAGAGUCUCACUUAUCCAACAUAAACGGGCUGGCAGAAGCUUGGAUAAGCGAAUAUCUUGGAUAAUAAGGAGGGAUUAAGGAAAAGCCUAUUAAACAUCAAAUUAGGUUAUGAUUUUACAAAUUAAGCACCAAAACAUCAUGUUAUACAACAAAUUCGACAGAAAAAGUAGUUCAAUACGCAGUAAUGCUAUGUAGUAAUUACUGUAUUUACGAAUUUAGUACCAAAAUAUCACGAUAUAUUGAAAACAUUGACUACAAAAAUGCGUUGGAUAAUCCAGAACGUUGGAUAAGAGAAUGUUGGAUAAGUGAGACUCUACUGUAAAUAAAUUGGUACUGUCUUAACAAAAUUGUGGGUUUCAGCAUUGACUUGUUUGCUUUCAAAAUGUGAGCUAGUAGUGAGAAAAAUCGCCUUGCUUGACUACGAUGUGCUAUUGAUUUCUAGCUGCCCUGAUGUGCUAAUGUGUUAAUGUGAUUGUUCGAAUGGACAACUGUCUACAGCUUGUAAACUCAGUUGAACCUUACUUGCUUUUUUUUUUUUUUUGCCAAGAGCUGGAAAACAGUAUCAAUCCUAAGAGCAUCCAUUAAUAAAAACGUAGGAAGGAGGGAAGGGUGCCGUGCCCGUAUGUCUUGCGUUUCGGGGGAAGCGGGUUAAUCUUUUUUUGGGAGACUUCAAACUUAAUUUGUAGAUUGUGUCUAAAUGAUAGAAAGCCCGCACUGUCAUCUCCUGAGUGCUGACUGUCCUUGACAGUUCUGACAUUUCAGCAGUCAGUUGUGAGCGGAGAGAUUCGUGGAGAACGGCCUCAUUAUUUAUAGUGCCACGUGGGAGCUGUGAGGCUCGAUCGUAACCUAGGAGGGUAUUUUUCCCCCAUUAGCCUCUGAACAGCAGACGGCUAAGGACCCCCGACUGUAUUUCAAAGUUCUGUCUGUUGCUUUUUGAUUCCUUAAUUGUACAUUUCUCACCGCCUAUCAGAUGCUUCCUGGGAUUUCUUUGUACCCCAGUCAGCAGGUGACAACAGGACAGGACUUCCUAAAGUGAGACACUGUCACACUGAGAACUUCUCCAGAAACUGCCAUUUGGGAGACUUACUACACUGUGUUGUCGAAGGCUUUCAUGGCUGGGAUCACAGGGUUGUUGUGUAUCUUUUGGGCUGUGUGGCCAUGUUCCAGAAGUAUUCUCUCCUGACGUUUCGCCCACAUCUAUGGCAGGCAUCCUCAGAGGUUGUGAGGCAUAGAUAAACUAGGCAAGGAAGGUAAAAAUAUAUAUCUCCAGCAGAGGCGCUCCAACCACCAGGCAAUCUAGGCAUUUGCCUGUGGCGCCAUCGUUCCAGGGGCGCCAUCAAGGCCCCCAGAAGGGUGGCGCCACCCCCCACCUCCUUCACCUUUGGGACAGGCCUUCCCACCGCGGCCUGGGCCUUGCUGCU
ensembl:lncRNA